AGGACGAACGCUAGCGGCGCGCCUAAGGUAUGCAAGUCGAACGGACCCGCAAGGGUUAGUGGCGAACGGUCGAGUAACACGUAGACAACCUGCCUCCGCAGUGGGGGAUAACAGCCCGAAAGGGCUGCUAAUACCGCAUGUGGCCGGGAAGCGAUGCUUCCCGUGCUAAAGGAGCAAUUCGCUGGGAGAUGGGUCUGCGGCCUAUCAGGUAGUUGGUGGGGUAACGGCCCACCAAGCCGACGACGGGUAGCUGGUCUGAGAGGAUGAUCAGCCGGACGGGGACUGAGACACGGCCCCGACUCCUUCGGGAGGCAGCAAUGAGGAAUCUGCACAAGUGGGACGAAAGCCUGAGUG
rnacentral:rRNA from 1 species